CUUGGCACAAGUAAAACUCACCUGAUCUCUCUUAUCUAUAGAAUGGUUAUUGGUUAUUUGUGUGACAGGGCUUAAACAUAA